CACGUUAUGGUGGGCACUCUAAGGAGACUGCCGGUGACAACCGAGGAAGGUGGGGAUGACGUCAAGUCAUCAUGGCCCUUACGGCCUGGGCUACACACGUGCUACAAUGGUCGGUACAAAGGGUUGCCAAGCCGCGAGGUGGAGCUAAUCCCAUAAAACCGAUCGUAGUCCGGAUCGCAGUCUGCAACUCGACUGCGUGAAGUCGGAAUCGCUAGUAAUCGUGAAUCAGAAUGUCACGGUGAAUACGUUCCCGGGCCUU
rnacentral:rRNA from 1 species